AUUUAUCCUAAGAUUACGAUUUCCGCCUGGUUCAUCUAUCGCAUGUAGAAUAUGACGAAUAUGUUCUGGACGGAUGGCGACCGAAAUUAAUACGAAUUCUCUGCAUGAACCGCUAUUCGUCCGGAAACCGUUUCCAAAAAAAAACAUUUUAUUGCCAGCCGGAACGAUGCAACGGUUUAACGAAUAUUUUCUGGACGAGCGGCAACCGAAAUUAAUACGAAUAUCGACGGAAUUAUGGACAGGAUAUAAUUACCGAAAGUUAAACGAACUUUUCGGAAGGUCGACGAUUGCUUCGCUGGAACGGAGGACUACGGCAAAUUGUCUUCGUGCUAGUGAAGGCGUCCACCGCAAAUUAACAUAUAUCACGUAUCAUUUAAUAUAUUUUUU